UGAGGAAAAGGCACUCAAGGCGGUGAUAUCCGUUAUCCGUUCAGGUACACCUUGUCUGCAAGUGAUCCCGACGUUUCAGCACCUAGGCAACAGUGCUUGGGACAGUGGAUUGCUGAAAGGAUAAACACCUAGUUGGUUACAUACUACAAGGCAACAGCAAAUGUAAGAUCAAGCACAACGGAUGGUGAAACACUACCCUGUCUCACAACAACAGCAUGUUCCAGGCUCAUGUGAUCCUCACACAAUAGGGACUGGGCAUCUGAUUGUUUUAAUAAUCACCUGUAUCACCCUUUUAGCUUUAUUCCUGUCAUUCUGCACUUUACCUAACCCGUGAUAAAUCUUUCUUUUUGAAUGAACACAUUUUGUUUGUUUUUUAAUUUAGCAGACAAACGAGACAGCAAUCAAUUCACAACCGUCACAACUGUCAA